AACGUCACGCAUUGGUGACGUCUGGUGGGGACCGGGUUUUGGGGUUUCUCACCAGUUCCGGGUCCCCGCAGGGGGGUCCCGGUUCUCUCCGUUCCUUUGAGUAUGUUGUGGGGAGUGGAGCUCGGAUAGUUCCUAGAGUCUAGGCAAGAAAAGCAGCACUGCAGGUACAGAGCCUCCUCUUCCCGCAAAAUGGCGGCAGCUCUGCCGUCUUCCAGAACCUUCCCCAAUCUGCGCAUGCGCCAAGACUCCCCGGCUUUGGAAAUAACCUCACUGGUUUCGCGGCAACCGUCCAAAGUACAGGUUCUCAUUGGCUAAAGUCCUAAGUAUGGGUGGAGCAAACUCAAAUGCGUCUUAGCAACCACCGAGUUCCCAUUGAUUGGCUAACCUCAGAGACUCCAGAAAAUGGAAGCGUCCUUUGGUAGCCGCCCAUCACUCUCUCAUUGGUUAAAUGACUUGCGGAGGGCGGGGAAAACGGGACUGAAAACGGGAGUGAAGAAGCCACCAACCCCACUCCUGGUGCUCGCGUAGACUAGACCAGUGCGAUGGGCGGAGCCAACGAGGAGGCACAAUUUACAUCCUUGGCCGUCCCUACUCGGAUUUGCUGAAGGAGUCACGUCGGUCGUUAAGGUUAAGCUUUGUAGAGAACAGCGGCGUUUGUUUAACGUCCGGGGAUGCUGAACUCGAAAUCCCCGUUCUGAGCCGGCUACCUAAACAACCUUCCCGACCACCUCUCCUGACCUCGGUGCUUGGGACCAGGGAAAAGCAGAUCUUGCCACAGACUUGUCUUGGCCCACACUCUGCCCUAUCGUCAUGGCCUGCUCCCACAGGUCAUAACUUCCGUUCAAAUCAGUACCCCCACAUUUCCCACUGCAAGGGUAAAUUUGAAAGUUUCUCAGGUGACUCCUUGGAUGUAGCAGUACUGAGUCCUCUAACCGGAAAGAAGGAACUGAUGUCCACCCUCACUUUCCAGGGGCCUCCAGGAGCCCCUAGACACUUCUGUGGUCUACUGUAGCUACCAAAAAUGUAGCUGGUUAUAACAUGGGGAGAGCCAGAGUCGGAGGACCUGACUUCCAAUUCUGACUUGGAUACUAAUAUCACAUCAUUGUACCCAUUUCAAACUCCCCCUCUGUAAAAUGGAAAAUUGGACUAGAUGAUCUCUUAGGACUUCAAACUGUAACCCUGUGGUUUUAUUCAAAAAAAACAGGUAGCUUCUUGCUGGAGAUUCCUGGAUGGAUUCCAGUCUUCCCAAGAGGUAACAAAGGAGAGGUAACCAGUUGCCCGUGCAGUAGCUCAAGAAUACAGAAGAGAAACUGGCUUCACUCACUAUUCCAUCUUUUUCCAAGGUGGCAAACUCUAUGCCUCCUCCCCAGAGAAAAGCCUAACUGUAGGUUCUAAUGGACAAGAGCUCACUGUAGCUGGUCAGAAAGGCCUAUAUCCAGGACUACAAUAGUCAUUGCUCAGCUUCCUAAGUAGGGAAUACAACUAGGCCCCUUUGGGUCUUGGAUAGGCUAAGAGGACAGAUCUGAACAUGCCUGGGUCUAAGUGAGGUGUGGGAAAAUAGUGGCAGGGGGCAGCAUGGUCGUGCAGUAAAGGGCUAUAACUUUAUUUGUAUUUCCUCUUACACAAAACCAUCAAAACAAGAACAGAAAAAGGCUGAAAAUCCGUUCAAACCCCAUGUUCUCAGGGAUAUUCCAGGGAGUUCUUGAGGCUGAGUGCGUAGCUUCAAAUCCAGCACUAAUUCCUCACCCCCUGGCCUGAGGUCUUCAUAGAUUGGUGGCUUGAGCCCUGCAAUUAAUUAUAAUCCCUUGCCCACCUUGAUGUAAGGCAGGAAAGCAGAUUGAAAUGCUCCUCUCUGAUGGGCAAGGGGAAUCACAGCCCAUAGAUGUACUGCACCUUCUGUACUACAGGAGCAGAACCUGAAGCUGCUUCCAAGGCUCUGGACACUUGGCACGCAGGGCUAGAGGCCAAUGGUAUAUGAGCGGCCUGUGGGGUUAUGAAUAGCAGAACAGACUGGUGCUGUCACAGCCCACUCAUACCACACCUUCUUGGAAUUGCUGCAUCGCCAGAAACGCACACAGAUGGUUUGGCCUUCACGUACCGUUAUGGGCUGCUGUAAGAAGAAAGACAGGAAGGUUCAGGGUGAAGCUAUGAAUUAUACAUGGCAAUGUAUUAAGCAGAAGAAAAUAGCUGAUGCAAAUACAGAAAAAGAAGAGGACUAAAGAGUACCACUUCUUUCCAGAGAGAGUGGUUCUUUACCUCAGGGUCACGGUCCUUCUCCCUACAGGCUCGGACCUCAUUGUACAGCUUGGAGGAAGAGAUGGGAGCCAGAAAGGAAGUGUACUCCCCGGGGAUGCUCACACCAUCAUCUGCACAGCAGGAGAGUCAAAUUAGUUCCAGAGGGAGGGAAAUGGUAUGUCUGUACUAACUGAAGGAUCAGAAGGAUCAAACCUCCCAUGUCAAAACCAACCAACGUUGGCAUGGGCAUGGAAGAAAGAGACAAAUGCAUGUUGUCACAUUACUAAGCCAGCCUGCUUCCAACUACUGUCAUGGAGGAUUCCACUACUAGGUUAAUUUACAGAGUCACACAGAUUAAAACUGAAAGAACCCAAGAUA
ensembl:lncRNA PRMT5-AS1 PRMT5 antisense RNA 1